AGAGUUUGAUCCUGGCUCAGGAUGAACGCUAGCGGCAGGCCUAACACAUGCAAGUCGAGGGGCAGCGCGGGGUAGCAAUACCCUGGCGGCGACCGGCGGACGGGUGCGUAACGCGUAUGCAACCUGCCUCGGACAGGGGGACAAGCCAGGGAAACUUGGUCUAAUACCCCAUAUUGUAGCGGGACCGCAUGAUCCUGCUACGAAAGCUUCGGUGGUUGGAGAUGGGCAUGCGUGACAUUAGCUAGUUGGCGGGGCAACGGCCCACCAAGGCUGCGAUGUCUAGGGGAGCUGAGAGGCUAAUCCCCCACACUGGUACUGAGACACGGACCAGACUCCUACGGGAGGCAGCAGUGAGGAAUAUUGGUCAAUGGACGGAAGUCUGAACCAGCCAUGCCGCGUGAAGGAAGACGGCCCUAUGGGUUGUAAACUUCUUUUGCCGCAGAGUAAUAAGUGGGAUGCGUCCCAUGAUGAGAGUAUGCGGCGAAUAAGCAUCGGCUAACUCCGUGCCAGCAGCCGCGGUAAUACGGAGGAUGCAAGCGUUAUCCGGAUUUAUUGGGUUUAAAGGGUGCGUAGGCGGACUGUUAAGUCAGCGGUGAAAUACCACGGCUCAACCGUGGGGCUGCCGUUGAUACUGGCGGUCUGGAGUACGAACGGCGCCGGCGGAAUGUGUCAUGUAGCGGUGAAAUGCAUAGAUAUGACACAGAACACCGAUCGCGAAGGCAGCUGGCGAGGACGCGACUGACGCUGAGGCACGAAGGUGCGGGGAUCAAACAGGAUUAGAUACCCUGGUAGUCCGCACAGUAAACGAUGAUGACUUGUUGUCGGCGAUAGACAGCCGGUGACAAAGCGAAAGCGAUAAGUCAUCCACCUGGGGAGUACGAUCGCAAGGUUGAAACUCAAAGGAAUUGACGGGGGCCCGCACAAGCGGAGGAGCAUGUGGUUUAAUUCGAUGAU
rnacentral:rRNA from 1 species